rnacentral:lncRNA from 1 species
GAUGAGAGAGAAACAUGUCGCUGGCGAGAGAAAAAGAAGACAAAUGGAGUUGAUGUUUUAUUUAGCAUCACAGAUACUCUUGGAUCUCUUUUAUUGUUUGAUCGCCGCGUUUUCCCGUGUUUCACCGGAACGACCAAUGAAGAAGACCUUUCACUCGCUCAUCUAAGUCGUUGCGUUUAAUAAACGGACAUGGCCUAGCAAUUUUAUUUGCUCCUGGACUGAGAACUUGGGAGAGAUUGAAGUUAGAUUCUACACACGAGACUCUGUUCGAGCUACAGAACUCUAAAUACUUAGAGAAACGUGUUAGAUAGAUUGAGGAAAAAAGAGCAAACAAAAGAAACAUCAUUAGGGGCAGUGGAAACUCUGGAAGAAAAAUGAAACUUAUUAGGCAAGAGAUAAGCCGCAAUCUGCGGUUGGAGUAGAAAACACAAGCUACCAAGAUUAGAGUAUACAGAACAUUGCUGACGCGAAGUGCUUACGAGCAAAGAAAUGCAGUUAAAUAAAAAUAAUCAUAUAGAGAAGACCGAGUUAGCAGCAGAGAACGUAACCGAAGUUUUGAACAACAGGGUAAUGGAUAAGAAAAAACAUUGAGUUGAAGAAGCUUAAUUCGGGUUUGAUAAAAGUGAGGGAGUUUGAUUGAUAAGGAGGUAUGGCUUAGAGUCUGAUAAUAAAGUAGAAAUAACAAACUCAAAAGCCAUGGAACUUAAGCUAACAAGAAUGAAGAAUGUAAGUUUUCCAAGGCUGCUUAGAAUGGAAGUUUCAUCUUCCAUCCUUAACUUUAAUAAGAUCAAAGAGGCCUGG